rnacentral:lncRNA from 1 species
UUUCACUUCUACUUUUUUUUUCUAAAUUUGGGUGUCCAUUAUUUAUGGUUUUUAAUCCAUGGCAUCGGUUUCAGCAACCAACAUGUCAACCGUUGAUCAAUUACAUGGAAGGUUAAGAUUGAAAGGGAAAUCUAGCUAGCCGCUACAACAUGUAACGGUUGAACUUUUAAAUAAGUCUCGUCCGCAUUAUUAAACUAUAGAUGUCAAAUUCAAUAUUUUUAAGAAGAAGAAGAAGAAGGGCAAGAAAACACACCAAAAUAUCGACAAUUGGGUCGCCGAUCUCUAGACAAAAUCACUCUACGAGCUCUCGGAUCUGAUCUAUAUUUUGGUAAUGAAAAAUGAAUAAAUAAAAUCUUUUACUUCCCAACUUAUCUGUUUUCUCACUCUCACUCUACAAUUUCUCUAUUCUCACCCUACGAUUUUCUCUCUCAAAUUCUAAUCUGUCUUCUUCUUCCUCAAAUUCUUUCUUAAUUCUUCUUUAAACUCUUGUUCUACUUCUCUUUUCCUUACACACACAUGCCCACGUGAUAAAAAUUGUUUUUAACACAUGUUUGUUUCUGCAAAAUACUCUCGUUAACAUGUAUUAGUG